GAAGCAUAAAAAAAAAGAGAGAAAAAAAAGAGAGGAGAGAAAGAAAUAAAAAAAAAAAGAGAUGGUUUAUGAGAUGAUCCAUGCACUAGGUGCAUGGAUAAAAAUUUAAGUUCAAAUUUUGAACGCGGAAAGUGGGACGUUCUCGUAGGUGCGAACGGGUAUAAAAAUAGCAUAUUAGUCCAUUCCCUUUCAUGUAUUUACAAAAUGCUUCGCUUUAAUCAUAUAAUAUUUUAUUAUUUUAACUAAAAUAUAAUAUGAGCAAAGGGAAAGGAUUAAUUCGCAAUAUUUCCACAAUCUCAUCGUAACCACCCAUCAUCCCACAAUCCCAUCACGAUCACCCACGAUUCCAUCAUCCCACGAUCCCCUAACCGCCCACGAUCCCAUAACAUCCCACGAUACUAUCGUAACAACCACGAUCCCAUAACCUCCCGCACAUCCAUGCGCACGUCUCCCUCAGGUUGGUUACAACUACCCCAUAAAUAUCUUUCGAAAAAAAAAUCAAACAGAGAGUUUUUGAAACCUGGAGAUCAAU
rnacentral:lncRNA from 1 species